AGUGCAAGUGUAUCAUGCUGCACAUGCAUUUUUGGGAUGUGUGCCUGGUCAGAAUUUGCCAGUCACCAGAACAUCGGCAGUAUGUGUUGAGUCCCUUUGAGUCCUUUUUACAUUCAUUUCUAAGAGGUAGGAGGACCAUUCUUGUGGAACUUUGUGCCAGUAAGCAAGUGCUGUGAGUUAAUGAUAGCAAUGGCUACAUCAUGCCCAGGAUAUAUCACUUUGUAGCCCUUCUCCCUAUCUUCUGAAUCUUAAAAGAUUUUUCUCACCUCUCUUCUGCUGUGUUCCCUGAGCCUUAAAGGGAAUGAUAUCAAUGCUUAGAAUUGAGCCCUAAGCUUUCAUUUAAGUCUCUGCAUGCAUCCAUUUAAAUAUAUAUGCAUGCACACACACACACACACAAAAGCAUACACACAUUCC
rnacentral:lncRNA from 1 species